AAAUGCGAUAAGUAAUGUGAAUUGCAGAAUUCAGUGAAUCAUCGAAUCUUUGAACGCACAUUGCGCCCGCUGGUAUUCCGGCGGGCAUGCCUGUUCGAGCGUCAUUUGAAGCCCCUCGGCGGCCCGGGUUCUCUUUUGUACUCGCGCCGCCGGCGUUGGCGCUCCGCUUGGCCCCCUUGCUUGUGGGCCAGGCGGGCUGCCCAAAUGCAGCGGCGGACCGUUCCGGGCCUCCCAGCGCAGUAGCAAUAGCCUCGCUGCGGAAGGAAGGAACGGCUUCUGGCCCCCAUUCGUCGACGUUUUUUUUGUCGUCGACCUUUCCAAGAGCUUGACCUCGGAUCAGGUAGGAUUACCCGCUGAACUUAAGC
rnacentral:misc_RNA from 1 species